AGUGAACGCUGGCGGUAGGCCUAACACAUGCAAGUCGAACGGCAGCACAGUAAGAGCUUGCUCUUACGGGUGGCGAGUGGCGGACGGGUGAGGAAUACAUCGGAAUCUACUUUUUCGUGGGGGAUAACGUAGGGAAACUUACGCUAAUACCGCAUACGACCUACGGGUGAAAGCAGGGGAUCUUCGGACCUUGCGCGAUUGAAUGAGCCGAUGUCGGAUUAGCUAGUUGGCGGGGUAAAGGCCCACCAAGGCGACGAUCCGUAGCUGGUCUGAGAGGAUGAUCAGCCACACUGGAACUGGGACACGGUCCAGACUCCUACGGGAGGCAGCAGUGGGGAAUAUUGGACAAUGGGCGCAAGCCUGAUCCAGCCAUACCGCGUGGGUGAAGAAGGCCUUCGGGUUGCAAAGCCCUUUUGUUGGGAAAGAAAAGCAGCAGGUUAAUACCCCGCUGUUCUGACGGUACCCAAAGAAUAAGCACCGGCUAACUUCGUG
rnacentral:rRNA from 1 species